UACGAAGGGAGCUAGCGUUGCUCGGAAUCACUGGGCGUAAAGGGCGCGUAGGCGGGAUGGCAAGUCGGUCGUGAAAUCCUUCGGCUCAACCGAAGAACGUCGGCCGAUACUGCCGUUCUUGAGGGAUGCAGAGGAGAUUGGAAUUCCCGGUGUAGCGGUGAAAUGUGUAGAGAUCGGGAGGAACACCGGUGGCGAAGGCGGGUCUCUGGGCAGCUCCUGACGCUGAGGCGCGAAAGCGUGGGGAGCAAACGGG
rnacentral:rRNA from 1 species